rnacentral:lncRNA from 1 species
GGGAUGUGUUGCCUGUUGGUGGAGUCCUAUUGGCUGAGCCCUUCAUCGAACCUUUGAGUGGGCACUUGGUGAAGGUUGCAGGAGCCACCAUACGGGGAGGACUAGUGGUUCCUUCUGCAGGAGGAUACCAGAAUAUACUAGACAACAAGGUUCUGGCAAUGAUGCACAAAAUAUUUGGUCAUCUGAAGCCACUUGCUGAGGUGUGGGGUUCCGAUCCAAACUUGCAGCUUCUGCAGACUAAUUCUGACAGUGAAAGUUCAUGCAGGCGUCAGGACUUGGUAAUGUCUGCUGCUAAGGAGCUUCACCAGGCGUGGGUACGGAGUCUUCACUGGCAGCUGCAGCUGCAGAGCAGGUUGGAGAUUCUUCUGGACUGGUCCGUUUGUCUUCAGGAGAAUGGAGGAGUUCUUGGUUACUUGCUUGUGUCUACAGCUCAAUGUCCUGCUUGUUUGAGCACCUGAAUCAACGUUAACUAAAGAAAGUCUGGCCUGAGCUGUAGCUGAUAGGCCAAUAUUAGCCCUGAAUAAAAAAAAAAUGGUUAAGGUAUGAAUACAGUAUGUACAUGUUUUUUCCUGCACAGCAUAAAGUUCUCCUGUGCUUUACAAACAAGGAGAAAUGCCACUGCCGGGGUCUGACGGAAGCGUGCCAGCUCUACUGGGCAUGGAGUACCCUGACCCGAUGGGUUCUGGUCUAGGUGUACAAGUGCUGGGUUGUCAAGCUGACUGGUCUGGCAAAACAGUACCACUAGCAGGCACCAUGGAGGACCCUGAUGGAAAAGGCUUAGUGGCGAUUCGUUAUGGUUCCCAAACCAUUGACCCAGUGACAGGCCUUUUGAGUACUGUGGUUGGAGCAAGACUGGAUCCCAUCAAAAAACACACAGUUCCCAUUACAGCUUCCUACUGGCUAAUGGAGACAGGUCAGAGCAGCAGUUUACAGGUAGAGGCACUGCAGAGAGAAGUUUGUUUACGCAACACUUAUUGGCAACAGCAAAAGCAACGGGAGGAGGAUAUUCUGAGUGAUGUGGACUCGUCUCUACACCAAUGUCUCCUUCGGUUAGCAGAAACGAACUUAGCCCAGCAGCUCCAGUGGUCCGGGAGGCAACAGCUGGAUGCAGCUGUGGAGCUGCACGAUUCAGCACAGAUUGAAGCUCAGAGGAAAGCUGCUCAGCGGCCCGUCCUGGAUCUGGUCCUCCCUUUGCAUGUGUCUCACAUCCUUACUCUGGGAGAUGAAGAUGAAUGGGACCAGCAGUGUAUAUGGCACUCAGUCCUCCUGUCUGGCCUGGAGAAGCUGGAAAUCUGUAUGUAUGAGCUGCAGCAAGACCAGGAAAAAGAGAGAUUACAAACUAAAGACUGGCCUACAAACCUCAACGCUAUGGAGAGAGAACAGAGACAGAGAGAGCUGUGUGAACAGAUCUGCUGUAGACAGACAGAGCUGCAUGCUGCUCUCAGUGCACUGCACUCCAUCAGAGUCCUGUCUCAGCUUCGGACUAUCGUGGCUAAGGAAGUCUUGUGCAGGAAUCUUUGGUUUAGGGAAUAUGGUUUGAUCCAACACACCACAUGCAGACUGAAUAUGAGAGCCACGGGUUUGCUUCACUUUUCUGCAUUGCCUCUAAUAGAAAAACUGAUCCAGCUCCUGGAAGAAAAGCAGUCAGCUAGCUUUUCCUCAAGUGUCUGCAAUCAACAAGUCACUGAGAGCCUGCAGCAAAUAAAAGAAACAGUUCAGCCUACACAGAUCUCUGUACCCACAAUAACAGAGGAGCAGUGGAGGAGCCUGUUGGAGCGCUCUCCACUUUUUCAGCAGCUGAAGGGGGUGGAGCUACAGCUGAAGGGCUGGGCUUGUAGGGCAGGACUUCAGGGAAAGGUCAAUGAUGGAGUUAAAUAUUUCAUAGAUGUCCUCGAUGCUCAGUGGGAAUGUGAAGGAGAGCUCAUUCCUUUGGAUCCAUCCACCCUGAAGCCCAGAGAGUUCCUGGUCUACAAACAUGGAUUAUUUCUGAUUCACUCCCUGCAUAAUCUGCAAUUGACUCCUGCAAUUUCACUUCAGAUAGCAGCCAGUCUGCCAAACAACAACUACUGUAACAACUCCUUCAGAAACUCCUUCUUUUAUCAGGAGGCAGAAGACACUCUCUUCGUCCGUCGCCAGAGGCUACAAUCAGUUGGUGGUUUCUCUCUCAUGCUACUCCAUUGUCUGUCCCAUAUUAAAAUCAAAGAGUUGAGUUCUGACUCCACUCCUGCUUUUCAGAGGCUUUUUUUCAAGUUGCUGCAGGAAUGUCUGGGGGAAGUUUUUCAAGCCAGAUUGUGCAAGCCCCUCUCUGAACAGGAAGCCAAUUUGUGUGUUUGGGGCCAAGAACAAGAGGCCCCUGCAGAGGGCUUAAGGGAAAUAUAUUUUGAAAGAGACUUUCAGGCUUCCUCUCUUCUCAACAGAAUUAACAAACCAGGCAGAGCAUGGUUGUCUGAUGAUGUAAGUACAAACGCUGACAAUGCCCUCACUGUGUUGGUUCUACCA